AUGUCCAUCGACAUCUCGGACGGCGUACAGUUCAACUACGACCUCGUCUCCGUCGCCACAUACAAGGCCAUUGAGCGUGGCAUCUUCGUCAGCGCCACCGCCGGCAAUGCGGGGCCGGCCGCCGGGAGCGUCUCCAACUGCGCGUCGUGGAUGCUCACGGUUGCGGCCGGCACCACGGACCGGGCGAUACGCACCACAGUGAAGCUUGGCAACGGCCAGGAGUUCGACGGCGAGUCCCUGUUCCAGCCCCACAACAACUCCGUCGCGUGCCUGCUCCCGCUCGUGUUCCCCGGCGACCUGGACGCCCGCGGCUGCAGCUCCCUCCCCGACUUGGUGAGCGGCAGAGCUGCACGGCCGCGGAAGCUGCAUGCAGGGCGUGGGUGA
rnacentral:rRNA from 1 species